rnacentral:rRNA from 1 species
CCUACGGGAGGCAGCAGUGAGGAAUAUUGGUCAAUGGGCGCGAGCCUGAACCAGCCAAGUAGCGUGAAGGAUGACUGCCCUACGGGUUGUAAACUUCUUUUAUAAAGGAAUAAAGUGAGGCACGUGUGCCGUUUUGGAUGUACUUUAUGAAUAAGGAUCGGCUAACUCCGUGCCAGCAGCCGCGGUAAGACGGAGGAUCCGAGCGUUAUCCGGAUUUAGUGGGUUUCACGGGAGCGUAGAUGGGUUGUUAAGUCAGUUGGGAAAGUUUGCGGCUCAACCGUAAAAUUGCACUUGAUACUGGCAGCCUUGAGUACAGUUGCGGUAGGCGGAAUUCGUGGUGUAGCGGU